ACGGAAGGCAGCAGUGGGGAAUAUUGCACAAUGGGGGAAACCCUGAUGCAGCGACGCCGCGUGAGUGAAGAAGUAUUUCGGUAUGUAAAGCUCUAUCAGCAGGAAAGAAAAUGACGGUACCUGACUAAGAAGCCCCGGCUAACUACGUGCCAGCAGCCGCGGUAAUACGUAGGGGGCAAGCGUUAUCCGGAUUUACUGGGUGUAAAGGGAGCGUAGACGGCUUUGCAAGUCUGAAGUGAAAGCCCGGGGCUCAACCCCGGAACUGCUUUGGAAACUGUAGAGCUAGAGUGCAGGAGAGGUAAGUGGAAUUCCUAGUGUAGCGGUGAAAUGCGUAGAUAUUAGGAGGAGCACCAGUGGCGAAGGCGGCUUACUGGACUGUAACUGACGUUGAGGCUCGAAGGCGUGGGGAGCAAACAGGAUUAGAUACCCUGGUA
rnacentral:rRNA from 1 species